rnacentral:rRNA from 1 species
GAUUUUGAUCCUGGCUCAGGACGAACGCUGGGGGCGUCCUUAACACAUGCAAGUCGAACGGUAAGGCCCCUUCGGGGGUACACGAGUGGCGAACGGGUGAGUAACACGUGGGUAAUCUGCCCUGCAUUUCGGGAUAAGCCUGGGAAACUGGGUCUAAUACCGGAUAUGAACUCCUGCCGCAUGGUGGGGGUUGGAAAGUUUUUCGGUGCAGGAUGAGCUCGCGGCCUAUCAGCUUGUUGGUGGGGUAAUGGCCUACCAAGGCGACGACGGGUAGCCGGCCUGAGAGGGUGAUCGGCCACACUGGGACUGAGACACGGCCCAGACUCCUACGGGAGGCAGCAGUGGGGAAUAUUGCACAAUGGGGGAAAGCCUGAUGCAGCGACGCCGCGUGGGGGAUGACGGCCUUCGGGUUGUAAACCCCUUUCAGCAGGGAAGAAGCGCAAGUG